rnacentral:lncRNA from 1 species
GGCGCAGCAGGGUGUGGCGGGGCGAGCCGGGAGAGCGGGGCGCAGCGGGGCGCGGGGCGGCCGAGAGGUGCCGAGCGCUCCGCGACCAGGAGACAGGGACGGCCCUUGAGGCGCAGGACGCCCCACGCCCCACUGUGGGGCAUCCCGGGGUCUGGAGCCCGGCUGGCCGCGCUCCUCGGGGAGCGCAGGCCACCCGUGGCUGUCUGGAGGCUGGGCUGUGCCAUGGGAUGGUGUGUGAAAACGGGCCGGGUGAGUGAGGUGCGGAGGUGUGUGUAGAGAGAGGUGGGGUGGUGUGACCUGGGCUGGCGGUGUGCAGGGGAGACCUCAGGGUGGGGCUAAGUGUGAGGGAUGGAGCCAGGUGUGGUGGAGCCUGCUUGUGAUCUGAGCAUUCAGAAGGCUGAGGCAGGCAGACUUCAAGUUUCAGGACAGCCUGGGGUACAUAGCGAGACCAUGUCUCAAAAUAAUAAUAAAAAGAGAUAGGGAGGAACACCUGAGUGAU